rnacentral:rRNA from 1 species
UACGUAGGGUGCAAGCGUUGUCCGGAAUUAUUGGGCGUAAAGAGCUCGUAGGCGGUUUGUUGCGUCGGCUGUGAAAACCUGAGGCUCAACCUCAGGCCUGCAGUCGAUACGAGCAGACUAGAGUGUUGCAGGGGAGACUGGAAUUCCUGGUGUAGCGGUGAAAUGCGCAGAUAUCAGGAGGAACACCGGUGGCGAAGGCGGAUCUCUGGGCCUUACCUGACGCUGAGGCGCGAAAGCUAGGGGAGCAAACAGG